UCCAGCUUUGCCAGUUGGGGUACACAGAAUCAAGCUGGAAGAAAAUAAACCAGCCAGCACCACCUGAUCCCAGUAGACACAAAUCUGAAUUACAAAAGCAGAGUUUGCAGUGGGAGCACUCUUGUCUAAGGAACCCUCUUCAACAGCAGAGGACUGCCAUCAGCCACACCUGGAUGAGUGAUCUCCAUUGCCAUGCGUGCUCCAGCAGUGAUUGAAUUUUCUUCUUCAUCAUGGUCAAAUAAAACUCCAUUGUGUAUGUGAUGGCCAUUCAUGGUUGUCAUCCUGACUAUCUGGAAUGGACUAGAAUCCAGAAAUGGAGGUCGCACUUGUGAUCCAAUCUUGAGGCAGGAUUACACAUGCCUUUAACCCAGAUAUUGAGCACAACCAUUCCUUCACUGGCAUUGGAGUCUACUGCUUCUAAAAUCCAGUAUAUACAGAAGACCAGCUGAGACACGCAGCCUCGUGGGACUGAGCAACUACUACAUUCUUGGACUCUCCAUUCACAGCUAGCCAGUGUUGACUGUAGCCUGUAAGUCACUCCAAUAAGUUCAUUCUGUAAGUUCUGUGACUUUGGAGAACCCUGAUUAAUACAGUGUAUACACCACAUUUUCUGUAACCAUCCCCCUGCCCAUGGGCAUGGGCUCCCUACCUUGGCUACUGUGACUAAUAAAUAGCAAUAAACAUGGUUGG